GAUGAACGCUGGCGGCGUGCCUAAUACAUGCAAGUCGAGCGAACAGAUGAGGAGCUUGCUCCUCUGACGUUAGCGGCGGACGGGUGAGUAACACGUGGAUAACCUACCUAUAAGACUGGGAUAACUUCGGGAAACCGGAGCUAAUACCGGAUAAUAUAUUGAACCGCAUGGUUCAAUAGUGAAAGACGGUUUUGCUGUCACUUAUAGAUGGAUCCGCGCCGCAUUAGCUAGUUGGUAAGGUAACGGCUUACCAAGGCAACGAUGCGUAGCCGACCUGAGAGGAUGAUCAGCCACACUGGAACUGAGACACGGUCCAGACUCCUACGGGAGGCAGCAGUGGGGAAUCUUCCGCAAUGGGCGAAAGCCUGACGGAGCAACGCCGCGUGAGUGAUGAAGGUCUUCGGGUCGUAAAGCUCUGUUGUUAGGGAAGAACAAAUGUGUAAUUAACUAUGGCCGUCUUGACGGUACCUAAACAGAAAGCCACGGCUAACUACGUG
rnacentral:rRNA from 1 species